AUGGAUAAGCAGAGGUCGUCCCCUGGGUGGGACCGCGCUGAACCCACAAACCCUUGCCCUCGGUGAUCCUCGAAACAAAGCCGCCGCCGCGAGCAGCUAUACUCCAUCCCCACUGCCGUUCAAGUCUACGGCGGCUGAAGUUAACCAACAAUGGAAGAUAAUGGCCUUGAGUUCCUUCUCGAUGGGGUCGACAGGUAAGGGAACCCUUCCCAAAUUGGAGAUCUAUGUAUUUUUCCAGUUGCACUGGACAUGGCCAUGCCUUUGCAGAUUUCCCCUCCGUGAAGAAUUCGCGAACAUCCUAGACCACCGAGAUCCGGUUCCUCUGGCGGUUCUCUCGUGGAAUUGUGCGACAAGCGUUGAGCCGGCUGACUCAAACGUUGGGUCCGGAUGCGGGCAGCGAGUUGGCGGCGUUAGCCAGGUUGCGUCUAGGGAGCGUGCUGCCAGACAGAACCCAUUUCCUUCAAGAAUGAGUGCCCUUGAGUAGUCAAUUCACAAGUAGACAAAAAUGUGUUGUUUGUCCUGAACUAGGACUAAGUUUCGAUUCAAUUUGAGGCGUACAAUUUAUACAAUUUGUAUUCGUGGCAGAUUGGCUUUGGAAUAAGAUAUGGGAAACGCAGAUUGAACGCAGAGAGGACCAAAUCAAUGCAGGAGAUUGUCUGCGUCUGCUCGAGGCUGAGAAUAGCAGGUUGUGUAGAUGCGAGUGACCUGCUUUGAGGAUGUACAUUUCUGAAAACCGUGUUUUGCUGUCACAGUUCAUGGAUGUACUUCACUUAGAGGAGAUUCCUGUUAAGCAUAUUGUCAAGCGGUGGACCAAGGACGUGAAGAACAUACUACCCUAGCACCUGAUUCAAUACCAGAAAGACCAUUCAGUUAACUUGUCUUUCACGUGCAGACAUUCGACGCUAUGUAUGAAAGCUAUGGAUGUCAUGAUGAUGGGGGAUGCGAGUGCAGAGUCAUUCGAGCACAUGUUAGCUAGUCUGAAUGAUUGUUGGUUACUAGUGCACCGUUUGCAGAGAAGAGAGAUUGUUUGGCUUUUGAGGACCGAUUGGCAAAGGUCUUGCAGUCCCGGAUAAGCAGAGGGGUUGGAAGGCCGACAGAUAUUGGAGAAGGCACCAUACGAGGGUCUGAGCAAAUGGACAAAGUUCUGCAGCUUCUGCCGGCGCGAGGGACACAAGUGAACAACCUGCCCUGGGAUGCACCGAAGAAGCCGUGCAAACCCUGGAAAAUGCAAGAACUAUAGUAUGGUAGGUCAUCACUGGAACAUAUGUACCAGGCCACUGGGAAUUGCUGAAAAAAUGGGAUGUGAUAUUUAAGUUUGUACUCUGUUCUUAGUUGCUGAAGAUUUUCUAGUGUGUUCUUGUGAGCAGUGCUCCAUGCUUGUUCCUCCAUUUUCGAGGUGGCAAAAAGCCGGAAUCAGAUAAUAAAACGAUGAUCUUGUUUGUCCGAACUG